UACGAAGGGGGCUAGCGUUGCUCGGAAUCACUGGGCGUAAAGGGCGCGUAGGCGGCCAUUCAAGUCGGAGGUGAAAGCUCCAGGCUCAACCUGGAGACGCCACCCGAUACUGCCAUGGCUAGAGUCCGGUAGGGGACCACGGAAUUCCUGGUGUAGCGGUGAAAUGCGCAGAAUAUCGAGGAGGAACACCGGUGGCGAAGGCGGUUCUCUGGGCAUGUCCUGACGCUGAGGAGCGAAAGUGUGGGGAGCGAACAGG
rnacentral:rRNA from 1 species